CACUGAGCAUUGUAAGCAACCUUAAGCUGAUUAAACUUGCUAGGAAGGCUAUUCAAUACAUGAUAGACUAGGAAGGGCUCCACAAUCGGAAUGUCAAGAGCCUUUAGCUUAGAUGAUAUAUUUAUUAUUUUUAUGACAUGUUCCCUAACACCACUUGUACCAUCAUAUUUCAUGCUUAUAAAUUUAUCCAUCAGAUCCCCAGUUUCGAUUUUAUCAGACUCAACAAAUUUUUCUCCUAUGGCAUCUAUAAAACUUUUGGCAUUUUCAUUAUCAGGGAUAGCACCUAGAAUGGAAUCAGAUAUCGAUCGCUUAAUGAUUUUUAAAUAGAGUUUGUUAGCCCUUUCCCACUUUUCAUGCUCGACUACAUAUUCAACGGUACUUUUAUCUGUGAGUUUUUAAAACUUUUUCUCCAUUGCAAAAUCCAAGCCCAAAAGACCAAGUGCUAUUUUUACGUCUCGUUUCCAUCUCACAUAGUUAUUUCCAGUCAAUGUUUCAAUAGCAGACAAUUGAUUCGAAAGAGAUGAGGCAUUAUAAACUGUGGAAACAUAAAAUAUCACACUCUUAAUAUCAUCCAAACUUAAUGCAUACAAUCAAAUGGAUGAUGAAAUAUCUAACUAAUUAAUAUGGGCUAUUAAUUAGAUAAUCCGUAAUUUAAAUCGAAACAUAUGAAUUUUAUUACGGUAAGAGCCUAGGUGCAUCAUCAUAAAGUCACCUUUUGGUCGACAAUACAACAUGCUAUAAGGUACUCUUAAAACACAUCAUGCAGCCAGUUAACAAAAUUACACUGAUUUUCGAAACACCAACACCUUUGGGCAGAAGGAAAUUUUUAAACCAAAAUAAGCUUGUUAACUUUCUCAUGCCAUUUUCCAAAAAUAUUAC
rnacentral:lncRNA from 1 species